CCUCUCGCCCGUAGCAAAAAAUAAUCAGGCAACAACGCUCCCAUCGAUCUAGGCCACGUCGGCGCCGCCGCCGCCAAUCCGCUCGUAUGCCGCCGCCGCCAAUCCGCUCGUAUGCCGUCGCCGCCAUUCACCCCUCUCGCAUGCCGCCGCCAUCACCCAUCGCCACUGAUCGGACGUGGAGCUCGUGUGCCAUGACCUCCAUGGCACCCAUGGCCGCCUGCUCGGGAGAUGGGGUCGCCAUGUUCGACGCCGCCAGCGCCUCGUGGACCUCAGCUCCAGGUCCGCCGCCAUCGAAGUCAGUUCUACAGGAAGAGAAUCUAGAAAUUCUUGCGCUGGAUGCAGUAGACGAAACUGAUCUAUUUGAUCUGAUCCCAACUUCCCAAGUCCCGAUGAGAACGUAUACCUACGUGGAUCCAAGUCGAGUUGGGAGCGGCAUCGAUCCAAUGAAUGUGCAAGGAAUUUCUGAAUACAUCACUUCUAUUUGAUUAUGGGUAUGUUCGUUGGUCAUUCAAUUCAAUUGUUCGUACAACAGCAGAAUUUUCCCUUUAGCACGAAUUUCCAGUAGUUGUGUUGCUUCUUUUGAAGGUGGAUCUUGGAUUCAUUCCAUUAGUUUUAUUUUCCGAAUUUCCAAUUAUUUGAGUAUCCUCUCUAUAGCUGCCUUCAGAGAAGAACAUGAGCCUGAAUACUAAUGCAUCUGUCCAAGCAUGAGGAAAUUUGCUAAAGUCUUUGCGGACAGGUUGACGACAGGAGCUGAUCGGAAUAUAAGAUACUAAUGCAUCUGUCCAAGCAUGAGGAAGUUUGCUAGUCUUUUGCGGACAGGUUGACGACAGGAGCUGAUCGGAAUAUAAGAUACUAGGACGACGCAUGGUCCAUGGGGGAUACCUUCUUCACCACCACUCUCCGGGCAGCCCGACCAUGCUCCUUUUCAUGGCUUUGCUUCCUUGGCCUGAUUCUUUUAACUGAUGAAGCUUUCGUCGAUUUUACUAUUUUCAGGUGCUAUAAAUCCAAGCGUUCAUCCAUUCUGGUCUAAUUCUUUGGAUAAUUUAUGAAGGUUAUGGUUCUGGUAUUUGUACGUAUUUGCAAAUUGUUCACCAGGCCUGUUGUCCUCGAAGGAGGAAAUAAUAGGGAGGAUUGGAGAUGCACAGGGCAUGCCAUGGCAAUGAAGUGUACACCAUGGACAGCUAAGCCUAAACCAUGUUAAUAAAUUUUUAUAUGCUCAAUUUAUGAUUUUGUGUUGGUUCUGAUGGUUUGAGAAAAAUUAAGUGAGCCAGUAUAAACAAACGCUAAUUACUUCAAUUCAGUUAUGCAAGCUGCAGAAAACGAACUAUUAACUCUGAUCUUCUAAUGCUUCCUCUUCUUUCUUAAUGUGGUUUGGCUCAACAAACAAUAUUUUCUUUGUGGCAUACUGCACUAGCUCUGAUUUGAGUACUUCAAUUCAGCAUAAAGUAGCUUAUUUUCCCUCCUAUUGUUAGUCUGCAAUGAUAUGUACUGUCCUCAAGUACACUGUCGUGUUUUGGCAAGCGAUUUGAAGCUAGCGUGCUGUAUUUUUGCAGGUGAUUGCUUUAAUCCAAUUUUGCAAGCAAUCUAAAGCCAACAGGCCUUGUUUCUUCCCAAAGUGGUGGCGGUUAGAGGCUAGCAGUACUUAUGGUGUGCAGUUUAAAUUAUUUAAGGAAGAUUUGAUUUUCCCCACAAAAAAGGAAGACUUGAUUUGAUGCCUCUAACUGAUUAUAUCUUUAAGCAAACAAUGGAUAUUGAAUAACUGCAUCAUAUUUGGAGGUAACAGUGACGUGUCAUAUGUUUUGGGAUACAGGCAAUACUUUACUUUACUUACCAAAUUACAUUACUACAUUACUAAUAGAAAAUUUACUUAUAAUGAUAGGAAAUCGUGUCUAUUGAUGGAGCUCGAACUACAUAGUACAAUCAACAUGUGUCUAGCUCAGAGCUCUUGUCCUAUAAUUCCAUGUUAUGCAUGAUUUCUUCUAAAGUUUCCAUGAAUUUUGCUUUACAUCAAAAACUUAAUCGAACUCCUUCCAGGACAAAAGUAAACAAUACUACAUAUCUUGAUAUAAAUCCUCUGAGUAGUAUGCCCCAAUUUUUAGUUCUUCAUAUACAUUUUUACUUGCAUAGUAUAUUAAUUUUUCUCAAAACAGGUACAUACUUCUAUCAUGCAUAGCGAGUGUAUGAAACAUCUUUUUUAAUUAAGAUGUCCUUCAAUAAAAAUAUUGUAUAUUUAGAAAUAUUUGGAUAACAUACAUGAUCUGUAUAUUCUUUUUCAAGUAGAGUUAGGAAUAUAUUUUUAAUUAAGAAACAUAUUUUGUACAGAGGGGGUGGAAGUGCACCGUUCAUAAGCUUAGGGAAGCACAAGCGCACAACCAGUUACCAUCAUCUUCAAAUGCGCCGAUAUAAUUGGCAAUGCAUGUUUCUCCAUGUUUUAAGUAUACAUAUCAUGUUGUGGUCCAUAGGCACUUGGGCUCCCUCCAUGAUCUGAGUAACAUUAUUGGCUUGUAUAUGCAAUGUUUUCUACUCCCUCCGUUCCCAAAUAUUUGUCUUUUUAGAGAUUUCAAAUGAACUACCACAUACGAAUGUAUAUAGACAUAUUUUAGAGUGUAGAUUCACUCAUUUUGCUCCGUAUGUAGCCACUUGUUGCAAUCUCUAGAAAGACAAAUAUUUAGGAACGGAGGAAGUAGCUACAGAAGCAAAGAUCAAAACAAUUCACAAAGCUACAGACAAUUAAACCGCUCAAUUAAUAAUUCACCACACUUUUAUCUGAAAUAAUAGAUCAAACAUGGGUACUUUUAAAUUUUUAUUGUACAAAACUGUUGCAACGGCAUGCAACCCUGUACUGUACUAAUUUGUACAGAGAUUGCAAGCUGAUGUUUUACAAUGAUAUAGGAAGAUUAGUAAUGGAGAUACAAGAGAUGGUUGAGGGUUGCUCGCUGAUUCAAUUCGUGCUUGGUCUAGGACUAGAUGGCAGUGUGGAUGUUGGGUAUGACAAGAAGAACGUAUGGGUCGUGUGCGUCGUCAUCGACCACCCAUCAUCGAGGACAGGGCCUCAUGUGGGACCUCGGGAGGAGGGGAGAACAAGGGCGUGCACAACAUCAGAGCCGAUGAAAUUCAUGUGCAUGGACUGCGUCCGGCCUGCCGUGGCCGACCGCUCCAUCCUGCUCCUCUAAAAGUGCAUGAGCAAGGCAAUCCUGCCAUUAUUUUUGGACAUCUGCUAUCAACACAACUACUUAUUUCCCAUAUUGUAACCAGUAACAGGCUAGCGGCUAUGCUAUUUCAUUUCACAAUGUAUAUACGGAGGUACCUUUGGAGUUCAGUGUGUCCAUUACAUGCUUUGUGUGUUGAGAGGGGUCCACAUGGUGGCGGGCGGAGUUCCUUGGGCUCCAUGGAGGCAGCUGAGACCUGGUGUUGCGCUCCUCCCUUUGUCCGCCACCUCGCCAUCUCGGGCGCCGCUGUGGCGAGUGCUCUAACCAGCUCCAGAUCGCUACACUCUACAGAAUAAUUCUUCAACUUAUCAAUCUUGCUACUGGUAUUCAUCCACCACUAGGUCCUUUAUCUGGAUGUGUUAUUAGUUCUUCGCAACUCCCAAUUCCGAUCCGUUCUAGAGGGUAAGUAUCUUUUUUAAAUGAAUGAACAGGAAAACUGUGUCUUAGUAAAAAAAAUCAUGUUUCAUUUGUGUAUGCGACAUUUAAGGACAGUGCCAUCUGGAGAACUUGUUCAUUGGUGCUUUCCAUGAGGUUUAUGGUAAGAUUAUAUAUUUGUUUGUUUGUUGCGACAGAAAUUAUAGAGUUGUUUUCCCUCUAUUGUCUUUAUCUAUUCACUUUGAUACAAUACACAAUUAAAUGAUCGGGGUUUUGAAUACAUAGCAUGGGUUCCUUGUGUUGGAGGCAUUUGACACAAGCCUUUGCUGCUGUAUAGCCAAGCUGGAUUCUUUACAUUCUCAGAAUUACAUUUAUCAUUUUCCCUCUUGGAAGCUAAAAAAGAAUAGUAAAUGUAUUUUGUUCAUAGCUAGGCAUACUUUGUUCUUGGAAGGCAUAGUUUGUUAUUAAAUUCUAAACAGUUUUAUAAAUGGUGACAAAUAAAGGGUUGUUAUUAAUUUCUAGGGAUACUGAAAUUUUUGGCUUGUACUGAAUUGUUUAUGGACCUAUUAAAAUAUCCCCUUGCACUGAAAUUUGAUUUCUACUGACUUUUUUUUAAAGAUACCUAAGACUUCUUGUGCUAAAAUUACCCUGUUACUAAAAUUUGCCUUGCUACUGUUGUACUAAAAUUUAACUAUUUAGUAGGAAGGAAGAGCACAAGAGGGAGCAAAAAAGAACAAGGAGAAAGCGACGCUUAGGAGAAGUUAGCUCAAAAUCCACUUACAUGAUUCGUGGUUUUGCCUAACCACUACUUGAUUCGUGAUAGCAUUGCACCAGACACAUAACAUCCAGUUGUAUAAUUGUAUAAGUAGAGUGUACUUGAUGCCUAUUCAUCUUUAUUCAUCCUUCUGUUUUCA